GGUUAGUUCAAGUAAAAAAAAAGCAGUGUUCUUUUCUAGUAUUUGUUUUAGUGAAUUUUGAAUGGUUUGGUAGUUGCAAUUGGUGAAUUGAAAAACCUAAUUGAACCCAGAAAAAAAUAGACUUAAAAACACUAAACACUUGCUAAAGGGCUUGUAAUGAAGUUGUUAAGAGUGUUCAUUCUCGCUUAUGAGAUUCUUUGUUUUGAUAUUCACUCAUCCAAUAUCGUUUGCAUAAAAAAAAUAUCGCUAUAAGCUUAUAUAUGCUAUCUCAGUUAAUUCUUAGCGGCUUAGAGGUCCAAGUAUUUAUUAGUCUAAUUUUAUUUAAGGGAUACUUUGGAUGCGGUCCCUAGCUAUCAAUAUUCUUUGAUUGAAACUUUGUUAGUUUUUAGUUUUUGAUUGAGGUCCCUGACAUUAAUGUAAUAAUGUAAGUUACUAUAUUUUUUAAAUUAAAAAUUGAAAAUUGAAAUUUGUAAUUGUUUAUAUUAAUGAGAUUUUAAAUAAAACCCAUAAUUUAUGGGAUUAAAAAUAAUAAAAUAUAAAUUAUACUGUCUAUUAUAUUGUGUGUGUGUAUACAUAUAUGUAUGGGUACAUUAACCAAAAUUAACAAAAAAAGUUAUUGUACCAAAACAUGGAUACAUUCUCAAAUCAAUGAAAAAGAAUGUACCCAUAUAAGUUUAAACAUGGAUUAAAAAAUUUGAAUGGAUUUUAUAUUAAAAAAGGGUAUAUUUUACAUAUAACAAAUUGAUAUAUAUGAGAAUGGGUACAUUGAUGAUUAAAAAAAUUGAAAAUUAUAUGAAUGGGUACAUUUAAGAUUAAAAAAUUGAGAAUCUUUAUAUAUAUAUAUAUAUAACUAAUAGGUACAAACUUAAUUUAAUUUAAUUUUUUAUUAUUUUGAAAAUGUUUGAAUUGAAAAUUAAUUAGAAGUUUAAUAGAGGUGUGAGUAUUAAACCCUAAAUUAAUUACUAAUUUUUAUAUUAAAAAUUAUAUAAUAAACAUGUAAAUUCAUUAUCACAUUAAUGUUAGGGACUUGAAUCAAAAUUUGAGAACUAAUAAGGUCUUAGUCAAUAAACAGUAAAAACUAGGGACCGGAUACUAAUUUUUCCUUUAUUUAAAUAGUCCAACCAGACUGAGUCACAAAUGACACCUUAUUAUAUAUAUGUCCUUUAGUACAAAUUCUACGAUAGAAAACGGUUUUAUUUAGUUUUAAAUUUUAAUAUGUUCCAAUUCCAAAGGAUCCCAAAUUGAAAAUUUGUAAUGCUUCUAAGUUUUCUAACUAAUAUUAUUGCAUGAAUAUUAAAACAUUGCCCAGUUUCACUUGGAGGCUGCAACUUUUCUAUUUUUUGUAUGAAUAAUAAGCUAAUAACUUUAUAUACUUCCAUUAACAGG
rnacentral:lncRNA from 1 species